rnacentral:lncRNA from 1 species
CUGGGAAAUAGAAAUGGAGGGGUGGAGCUCUGAGCGAGAGAAGAGGGCUCUGGGCCAGCAAGCAGGGGCCCUGACUUGAGGCCGAAGGGCUGCGGGAACCGGCCGGCCCGACCUGACCAAACUGCGGCUUCUCUCCUUGCCUCUCCCCGCUUCGUCUCUUCGUUUCUUCCGGGGAGGCCGGGCUCCUCGGCCGCAUGUCUAGCAGCUCCCCCCACCCCUAAGAGUCUAAACGACUGGUUUCCUCGCAGCCCUGGGCAAAGAUCCAACCUCGGGCUGCCCUGGGGACUCAGACGCGUGUGGCUUCUAAGGGACAGCCUGACCCCAGGGACCCUCGUGGUGGACGCUGCGGCGCGGUGCCUCCUCUGCCUUCUGAACCCUCUGAGGUUGCGUUGCCAAGUACGGACGACCUUCCGCUGCU